ACAGCAGUGGAGUGAAGGUCUCCAUAGAGAUCUCAGACUCCCAGGAACCGGUCACGUUCACAUGCGAUGUGAGUUCCCCAGUGGAGCUGCUGAUCAUGCAGGCCCUGUGUUGGGUGCAUGACGACCUGAGCCAGGUGGACAUCAGCAGCUACGUCCUCAAGGUCUGCGGACGAGAAGAAGUACUGCAGAA